rnacentral:rRNA from 1 species
GACUCUCGGCAACGGAUAUCUAGGCUCCUGCAUCGAUGAAGAACGUAGCGAAAUGCGAUACUUGGUGUGAAUUGCAGAAUCCCGUGAACCAUCGAGUCUUUGAACGCAAGUUGCGCCCGAUGCCAUUAGGUUGAGGGCACGUCUGCCUGGGUUUCA